rnacentral:lncRNA from 1 species
CUUUGCUCAUGAAACAAUUGGGUGAUGACAGGUGUGGCUGGAGAAAGAGGCCUACUAGUAUCCACAGAACAGGUCAAAUCAGCAUAAUGUCAUCGAUAUAACCAAUCAGUGUAAUAUUUUGUGGAAGGGAAAGGUAAUCAAGAUCCCCAUGAACUGAAUUAUGACAUAGAGUUGGAGAGCUGAUACACACCGGAGAUACGACAAUGAAGAUGUGUUGCUGGCCCUGCCAUCUGAAAGCAAACUGCCUUUAUGGACUGGUAUGAAAAAAAAGACAUUU